UCAACAUGUGUUCAAAGACUAUAAAGUAAGAAGAAAAACCAAAAGGUUUUCUUUUAUUCUUUUAAACAAUAAGAUGCUUUCUUUGGUGAUUCAUGCGGGGUAUGAAGGUGGCGAUGUUGCAUAAAAAUACAAAACCCGCGUUAGCAAGUUAUGUAAGUUUUUUUUCUGCAAUGAUCGCUAUCUUCAUAACACCCGCAUGAAUCAUCAAAGAACGCAUUUUUAGGCGGAAGCGCCUAUUGCAAUUGCUUUCAUGACCUUCUACGUCAUAGGUCAAAUUCUUGCCCUUUUUCAUGGUAAACUAUCGGAAGUUAUUUAAACUAAGGGCACACAACUCUAUAACACCCCCCCCCCCCCACUGUUCGACCCCCGUUUAAACAUCGUUUCUGAUAAUAGAACUGUGGUAUGUCUCUAAAUUUUUACUUCAUCGUUUUUAAUUAUCCAUUGAAAAUGCCUAUAGCAAAGAUAGCAAGUGGUAGAUUAACGUUUUUGAUAGUACAGGAACGAACGAUAACUCUUGCGAUGGUAUGCGACAUAAACAAGGGAUAAGCACGGAGUCUGAUGCCUGUAGAUGAAAUUCCGAGGGAAAAAAUAGUUCAAUUUGAAAUUGCGUGUUUAUGAGUACAGAAGAAAAAAUUGAUAGGGUAACAGGUAAUGAAUGCUUUUAAAAAAAAACAAAACAAGGGUGUGUAUAAAUCUCUUUAAAAAAGAUUAUUAGAAUGAUACAAUGCCUAUAAAUUAUUUGUACCAACGUUUUGCAUAGUAAUCUCAGACAAUACUGCAUAACGUUAUGCAGUGUAAAAUUUUUGUCAACAAACCCACGUUGAGAACAACUGGUGACUGUCCAUCUUCGACAUACGUAAGAUGAAUGUCAAGAAACUGAUUAACAUUAACUGACAAGAGGAGACAAUGAGAGCUCAACAUUAUUCUUCAUAUCUGGUGAAGGGGAGAGUUGCUAAAUUUGGGUGCACAACUAAAUUCAAGCAAAACAAAGAAAAAGACAGAUGCUAUAAAAAUGUGGUGUUGGCUUCCCAGUUCAGCACUUUUAAAGAGGGACAAACAUUGCACGUUUGCAACUUCUAAAUGGAAGCAGGGCAUCUGAAAUAUGCUGGAAUCCUCAUCUUAAUGGCCUUAACGCCAUUUUCAAGAAUAUCAAGACAGUGGUCAUUGGUAUAAUGGAUGCAAGACAACACUAGUGAAUUGAAAUUGUUGUUACUACAAAUGACACACUCCAGGAUUACACACUUUCCAAAAAACCCAUUACGGCAUGCAACCAUAAAGGGAUUCUUUGAAAGUCUAUGUUCUGUAAUGGUGGAAGUUCUCUUGAAGAUUCCAUUAGUAUUAAAAUAAAAACUUAAAAGGUAAAAGUUCAAAUGUCUUCAAUACUAGAGACCUGUGAUUUGACAGUACAACAUGGAGCAAUUGUAAAGGACACAUAAUUUGUACAUUAUUGAAUAUCAAUAUAUAGUUAUCCAUAAAUUACUGGGCUUUUACAUUGUAUUGUAAUUCUCAACAUUUGCAUAUUUGAUCUUUGUAAAAUAUGUUUGGUAUACAGUACAGUAAGAAAAUACAUUCUUUCUAAGUUUUAAACAUUUGUCAACAAAAUAUAUGAACUGCAAUCUGAGGAUCAAUAAGAGGUCUGCAAUUCUCCACAUAUAAAAUGACUUUGAAAUCAUCCUGUUACUGUUAAACUUGAGAAUAUAUUAAGAAAACAUCAAACUCUCUUUAUCGAAUACCUUUUUUACAACAUAUUGUCCGGAUAUUUUAUGUAUUAUUCUAUGAAGCUGAUUACUUAAUGGCUAUUGCUUCUCAGGUAAGCAAAGUGACACACAUACUACUUGAUUCUGUAAAAUACUGUAAUCAAGUGAUGUACAAAUGUCAUUUCUGCAUUUUUUGUGAAACAUUAUUGUAAAGAAUAAAAUACUACAGUUUCAGAAGUUCAGUUUACUAAAUUCUAAUACUAUAAUAUUCUUUCAUCAUUUUGAUGUCAAAAUGAACAUUUUUAAUAAAAAUGGCAUAAUAAAUGAAAAUGUAUUCCUGUAAUUUCAGCUUGCAUAUAAGUAUCAACUGUUAUACGAAUGUACUUCACAAAAUAAAUGUUUUGAUGUUUAAAUUGCUCUUCUCAUUUAAUCUUUAUUUAAGGCAUGACCCAGACUAAUCUGGUGCAGUAACAGAGUAUUUCCACAUUUACUACAUGUAUAUACCUUAAUUGACAUAUUAAAAUAGUGUUUUAUGUUAUCAAACUAAUUCUGAUUGACAACAUUGACAACUUGCAAUCAUGCUUCCGCCUAUCAGUACUUUCAGUACUUUGAUAUUGUUUAUAUUUACAUCUUUCAUUUAACAAAUUAAUAAAUUGAUUGUAAAAAGUAAGUUAAAUUAACGUAAUUACUGUUGAUGUACAUCAGUACGUUAGCUAAAGAAACAGCCAAAUCAUCUCCUAUGGGAAUUUGCGUCUUACAUCAUCGUGGUUAUUUCGUGCAGUCUGUGAUUUUUCUUAAGUCGCUGUAGGUUUCGAUUAAUCGAUAAACGGGGCCUGUAGAUUUUAGUCCUGAAAAUUUUUGAAGAGUUUUGAAUCAACAAUAAGUUUCCGUAAGAAAUAGAGGGAAUCAUACUCGGUAGAUGUAAACAUGAAAAUAAUUCAUAAGAAUGGCCCUUCUGUUUGAUACCAAUAAUUAAAAUAACAAUGCAAAUCAACUUCUUAAAUUUCUUUAAUGCAAUUGAAAGCACUUGAAUUUAUUUGAGAGAGUCAGAUCAUUUUAAAAAAUUUGAAUACAAGCAUGUUUUCAUGGUGUGUACAUGUAAUAAUGCAUCGGACAAUUAAUAAAAAGUUGAUAUAUAGAAGUGAAGGUUUUUGUUCUUCAGUAAUUUCAAAUAAGAAAACAUGUUAAUGAAAAUAUUUUCAAAAGGCUGAUUGUUCUGUGUGUUAAAUAAUAGUAUUUGAUUAUGAUUGCAUUGGUGGUUUGUCUU